rnacentral:rRNA from 1 species
AACGCUGGCGGCAUGCCUUACACAUGCAAGUCGAACGGUAACAGGUCUUUCGGGAUGCUGACGAGUGGCGAACGGGUGAGUAAUACAUCGGAACGUGCCUAGUAGUGGGGGAUAACUACUCGAAAGAGUGGCUAAUACCGCAUGAGAUCUAUGGAUGAAAGCAGGGGACCUUCGGGCCUUGUGCUACUAGAGCGGCCGAUGGCAGAUUAGGUAGUUGGUGGGAUAAAAGCUUACCAAGCCUACGAUCUG